CAUGCUCACGUCUCAACUCUCCGAGCAACAGUUUACGGAGCUCUAAUUAUCCGUCCAAGAUCCGGCCGUUCCUACCCGUUCCCUAAACCCGACAAAGAAGUUCCUAUCUUAUUAGGAGAGUGGUGGAAUGCUAAUGUUAUUGAUGUCGAGAACGAGGCACUUGCAACCGGCGGCGCUCCUAAUAUUUCCGAUGCUUACACCAUUAAUGGAAGGCCUGGUGAUCUUUACCCAUGUUCUCAA
rnacentral:misc_RNA from 1 species